UACGGAGGGUGCUAGCGUUGUUCGGAAUUACUGGGCGUAAAGCGCGCGUAGGCGGCUUUGUAAGUUAGAGGUGAAAGCCCGGAGCUCAACUCCGGAAUUGCCUUUAAGACUGCAUCGCUUGAAUCCGGGAGAGGUGAGUGGAAUUCCGAGUGUAGAGGUGAAAUUCGUAGAUAUUCGGAAGAACACCAGUGGCGAAGGCGGCUCACUGGACCGGUAUUGACGCUGAGGUGCGAAAGCGUGGGGAGCAAACAGG
rnacentral:rRNA from 1 species